GCGCGGGUGGCGGAAUUGGUAUACGCGUACGUUUGAGGGGCGUAUGCCGAAAGGCAUGUGGGUUCAAGUCCCACCCCGCGCA
rnacentral:tRNA from 1 species